GGGUUGUGAGGUUAAGCGACUAAGCGUACACGGUGGAUGCCCUGGCAGUCAGAGGCGAUGAAGGACGUGCUAAUCUGCGAUAAGCGUCGGUAAGGUGAUAUGAACCGUUAUAACCGGCGAUUUCCGAAUGGGGAAACCCAGUGUGUUUCGACACACUAUCAUUAACUGAAUCCAUAGGUUAAUGAGGCGAACCGGGGGAACUGAAACAUCUAAGUACCCCGAGGAAAAGAAAUCAACCGAGAUUCCCCCAGUAGCGGCGAGCGAACGGGGAGCAGCCCAGAGCCUGAAUCAGUGUGUGUGUUAGUGGAAGCGUCUGGAAAGGCGCGCGAUACAGGGUGACAGCCCCGUACACAAAAAUGCACAUACUGUGAGUUCGAUGAGUAGGGCGGGACACGUGGUAUCCUGUCUGAAUAUGGGGGGACCAUCCUCCAAGGCUAAAUACUCCUGACUGACCGAUAGUGAACCAGUACCGUGAGGGAAAGGCGAAAAGAACCCCGGCGAGGGGAGUGAAAAAGAACCUGAAACCGUGUACGUACAAGCAGUGGGAGCCUCUUAAUGGGGUGACUGCGUACCUUUUGUAUAAUGGGUCAGCGACUUAUAUUCUGUAGCAAGGUUAACCGAAUAGGGGAGCCGAAGGGAAACCGAGUCUUAACUGGGCGUUAAGUUGCAGGGUAUAGACCCGAAACCCGGUGAUCUAGCCAUGGGCAGGUUGAAGGUUGGGUAACACUAACUGGAGGACCGAACCGACUAAUGUUGAAAAAUUAGCGGAUGACUUGUGGCUGGGGGUGAAAGGCCAAUCAAACCGGGAGAUAGCUGGUUCUCCCCGAAAGCUAUUUAGGUAGCGCCUCGUGAAUUCAUCUCCGGGGGUAGAGCACUGUUUCGGCAAGGGGGUCAUCCCGACUUACCAACCCGAUGCAAACUGCGAAUACCGGAGAAUGUUAUCACGGGAGACACACGGCGGGUGCUAACGUCCGUCGUGAAGAGGGAAACAACCCAGACCGCCAGCUAAGGUCCCAAAGUCAUGGUUAAGUGGGAAACGAUGUGGGAAGGCCCAGACAGCCAGGAUGUUGGCUUAGAAGCAGCCAUCAUUUAAAGAAAGCGUAAUAGCUCACUGGUCGAGUCGGCCUGCGCGGAAGAUGUAACGGGGCUAAACCAUGCACCGAAGCUGCGGCAGCGACACUAUGUGUUGUUGGGUAGGGGAGCGUUCUGUAAGCCUGUGAAGGUGUACUGUGAGGUAUGCUGGAGGUAUCAGAAGUGCGAAUGCUGACAUAAGUAACGAUAAAGCGGGUGAAAAGCCCGCUCGCCGGAAGACCAAGGGUUCCUGUCCAACGUUAAUCGGGGCAGGGUGAGUCGACCCCUAAGGCGAGGCCGAAAGGCGUAGUCGAUGGGAAACAGGUUAAUAUUCCUGUACUUGGUGUUACUGCGAAGGGGGGACGGAGAAGGCUAUGUUGGCCGGGCGACGGUUGUCCCGGUUUAAGCGUGUAGGCUGGUUUUCCAGGCAAAUCCGGAAAAUCAAGGCUGAGGCGUGAUGACGAGGCACUACGGUGCUGAAGCAACAAAUGCCCUGCUUCCAGGAAAAGCCUCUAAGCAUCAGGUAACAUCAAAUCGUACCCCAAACCGACACAGGUGGUCAGGUAGAGAAUACCAAGGCGCUUGAGAGAACUCGGGUGAAGGAACUAGGCAAAAUGGUGCCGUAACUUCGGGAGAAGGCACGCUGAUAUGUAGGUGAAGUCCCUUGCGGAUGGAGCUGAAAUCAGUCGAAGAUACCAGCUGGCUGCAACUGUUUAUUAAAAACACAGCACUGUGCAAACACGAAAGUGGACGUAUACGGUGUGACGCCUGCCCGGUGCCGGAAGGUUAAUUGAUGGGGUUAGCGGUAACGCGAAGCUCUUGAUCGAAGCCCCGGUAAACGGCGGCCGUAACUAUAACGGUCCUAAGGUAGCGAAAUUCCUUGUCGGGUAAGUUCCGACCUGCACGAAUGGCGUAAUGAUGGCCAGGCUGUCUCCACCCGAGACUCAGUGAAAUUGAACUCGCUGUGAAGAUGCAGUGUACCCGCGGCAAGACGGAAAGACCCCGUGAACCUUUACUAUAGCUUGACACUGAACAUUGAGCCUUGAUGUGUAGGAUAGGUGGGAGGCUUUGAAGUGUGGACGCCAGUCUGCAUGGAGCCGGCCUUGAAAUACCACCCUUUAAUGUUUGAUGUUCUAACGUUGGCCCCUUACCGGGGUUGCGGACAGUGUCUGGUGGGUAGUUUGACUGGGGCGGUCUCCUCCUAAAGAGUAACGGAGGAGCACGAAGGUUGGCUAAUCCUGGUCGGACAUCAGGAGGUUAGUGCAAUGGCAUAAGCCAGCUUGACUGCGAGCGUGACGGCGCGAGCAGGUGCGAAAGCAGGUCAUAGUGAUCCGGUGGUUCUGAAUGGAAGGGCCAUCGCUCAACGGAUAAAAGGUACUCCGGGGAUAACAGGCUGAUACCGCCCAAGAGUUCAUAUCGACGGCGGUGUUUGGCACCUCGAUGUCGGCUCAUCACAUCCUGGGGCUGAAGUAGGUCCCAAGGGUAUGGCUGUUCGCCAUUUAAAGUGGUACGCGAGCUGGGUUUAGAACGUCGUGAGACAGUUCGGUCCCUAUCUGCCGUGGGCGCUGGAGAACUGAGGGGGGCUGCUCCUAGUACGAGAGGACCGGAGUGGACGCAUCACUGGUGUUCGGGUUGUCAUGCCAAUGGCACUGCCCGGUAGCUAAAUGCGGAAGAGAUAAGUGCUGAAAGCAUCUAAGCACGAAACUUGCCCCGAGAUGAGUUCUCCCUGACCCUUUAAGGGUCCUGAAGGAACGUUGAAGACGACGACGUUGAUAGGCCGGGUGUGUAAGCGCAGCGAUGCGUUGAGCUAACCGGUACUAAUGAACCGUGAGGCUUAACCUUACAACGCCGAAGGUGUUU
rnacentral:rRNA from 1 species